CAGUAGCCGCGGUAAUACGGAGGGUGCAAGCGUUAAUCGGAAUUACUGGGCGUAAAGCGCACGCAGGCGGUCUGACAAGUCAGAUGUGAAAUCCCCGGGCUUAACCUGGGAACUGCAUUUGAAACUGUCAGGCUGGAGUAUUGUAGAGGGGGGUGGAAUUCCAGGUGUAGCGGUGAAAUGCGUAGAGAUCUGGAGGAAUACCGGUGGCGAAGGCGGCCCCCUGGACAAAGACUGACGCUCAGGUGCGAAAGCGUGGGGAGCAAACAGGAUUAGAUACCCGAGUAGUCCCUGUCUCUUAUAC
rnacentral:rRNA from 1 species